rnacentral:lncRNA from 1 species
AAGGAAACGCAAAUACCAAAAAUCAUGGGAAAAAGAUCGCGAAUGGUUGAAUUAUAUAGUAGAUCGGAAUUUAAUGAACUGUAUAAUUUUUUUUAUUAGUGAUUGUCAAAUGAAUGUCAUUUUUGCAGGACCAGUAGAUUUGGAGCCGGACCAGUAGAGUUUUCGGUCCACUGGUCCGGCUGGCCAGUACACAAAAAAGCUUAAAUUCGACCCCUGAUUAUAGAUCACAUUUCAAAAGCACACUAUCAGUUUGCGUUCUAAAAAAUUCCGGAUAAAAUGUCAAUGAAUCCCAAGUCAAAACCUUUAAUGUAGGCC